rnacentral:rRNA from 1 species
UACAGAGGGGGCAAGCGUUGUUCGGAAUUACUGGGCGUAAAGCGUGCGCAGGCGGUUUUGUAAGUUUGUCGUGAAAUCCCCGGGCUCAACCUGGGAAUGGCGAUGAAGACUGCAAGGCUAGAAUCUGGCAGAGGGGGGUAGAAUUCCACGUGUAGCAGUGAAAUGCGUAGAGAUGUGGAGGAACACCGAUGGCGAAGGCAGCCCCCUGGGUCAAGAUUGACGCUCAUGCACGAAAGCGUGGGGAGCAAACAGG